rnacentral:rRNA from 1 species
CCUACGGGAGGCAGCAGUGAGGAAUAUUGGUCAAUGGGCGCUAGCCUGAACCAGCCAAGUAGCGUGAAGGAUGACUGCCCUACGGGUCGUAAACCGCUUUUACACGGGAAUAAAACGCUCCAUGUAUACUGCUUUGCAGGUACCGUACGAAUAAGGGCCGGCUAAUUCCGUGCCAGCAGCCGCGGUAAUACGGAGGAUCCGAGCGUUAUCCGGAUUCAUUGGGUUUAAAGGGAGCGUAGGCGGGUUGUCCAGUCAGUUGUGAAAUUUUGCGGCUCAACCGUAAAAUGGCAGUUUAUACUGGCAUCCAUGAGUACAGUAGAGGUAGACGGACUUCGUGGUUUAGCGGUGAGAUGCUUUGGUAUCACGAAGAACUCCGAUUGCGAAGGCAGCCUGCUGGACUGUAACUGGCGCGGAUGCUGGAACGUGUGGGUAUCAAACAGGCUUAGAUACCCGUGUAGUC